GAUUCCCAUGAUCACACAGCUUUAAAGUGACGUUGACUGAAAUCAGUGCAAGAAGGAAGAAGCAAAGACCAACAGUGAGAGAUUUAAAAAAGGGGGGCUGGAGUCUUCUCAGGUCUCCUAACUGCAUUAGUAAUAGAGGUCACUGUUAAUUCCCCCCAGAUAGGGAGACGGUCGUCGCCUGUGCAGAUGCUGGCUGCACAACCUCCCUGCUGAAUUUAUGUGUUUCUCCUCAGUUCUCGUGAGAGGAAAUGGAUUAUUGGCAUUCGCUGUUGUUUUUUUCACGAGGAACCUGUUGCAUCGCAGAAGACUGAUGGCAGUGAAAGAGGAGUAUCUGACAUUUUAAUCUUGUUUCCCAGUGAAUCCUGUCCAACAUGAAGAUGGUUGCUGCCGUCAAAGUCUUCAUCAGUCUUCUGCUGAUUUUACACUUUAGCAGAGCCCAAAAAUCCAGAGAUGACUCCCUCCACACUUCCCUCAUCAUGCUGUUCAGUGUGAGCCCUCAGUCCCUCAUCAGCCUCCUGCUGCUCGGCCUGACCGUCGUCCUGUCCGGCAGUAUCUACUUAUGGGUCCUCAGAUAUGUUUGCGUCGGCUGCUGCCAGCCCAUAGCGGUCGGCACUGAAUCAGAAGCUCUGGCCGGGAUGGUGUGAAGCCAUUAGGUCCUGUCUAAAUGAGUUAGAAUAUUACUCACUCACAUGCUAGCUAAGAAGUCACACAGGGUAUUUCCCUUGGUUCACAGGUUAAAAUGACAUUCUUCAUGCCUAUGAAUUGGUUCUAUUCACCGGCAAGCUGGGACUUUGUAGAUAAGACUUUUUUAAUACUUUGUGGAAGACGUAUGUAAAUUUAGCAUUUUCACGUGUGACACAAAUUGUAAUUUGUUUGACCUUUACAGACCGCCGAUGUCUCAGGGGAAAUAACUAAUUCAUCUGCACAAAUGACUAAUUUGUGCUCUCAAAUGAGUGAUUCUUGUGUGGCUCCAAACACGUUGGCAGGAUGAAGAAUAAGAGUCGUCACCUUCCUGUGUCUGCAAAAUUACCACAAAUAGGGAGACAAGCGUGGAUAAGAUUGACGUAGCUGUACAGGUUGUUUAAAGUCAAGUCGUGUCGACCGAAAAUGAUAUUGUCAGGAUGCUUAUGUCGCUCACUACAGGAAAAAUAGCAAACUCAAAGAGAAAAUGGCCGACGUGGCUUUUGUAUUAAAUCGGUAAGAUGUCAAACGCGAGGGGGCAGAUGUAAAGAAUGUGGUAACUUACCGAUAUUCAUACGUAGGAGUGGAUCCAGUAUUUGUAGUCACCUCAACCCUAUACUUUCUCCUUCCAUGCUAACCAGAGUAGCCGCAACAACCUGUAAUUUCAGUUACUACUGCUAGAACGUGACACAAAUUUCAAAGCACAAAUGUCAAACUUGUGAGCACAAAUUAAGCAAUUCAAGAGGUUGUACUACUAAUUUGAGCUUAACCAUUUUUUUCCCACAAUGCCUUCAAGGCUCCAUAUAAAGUCCAUGUAUGACCAACCAGAGCAAAGUGGUUGCAAGUUUGACUUUACAAAUGGACACACUUUUAUCAUACUGAAUAAAAUAACCCAUCCUCUAUUUUUUUACUGUACAUGUGCAAAGGAGCAAAAUAAAUCCGGCCCAUACUUGGGCCACAUGUUUGUUUUCUUCUUGCCAAGUAUAGACCCGGUUCCAAGGCCCGAAUCUGGCCCAUGUACAGCAUGAUUUUAAGAUGCUACUUCCACAUCUGGACAAAUUUUGUCAGUCAAUACCGGAGGACUCUGCCCAGAUGUAGAAGUAUAUAGGCCAGACUCAGGCCACAGUUAUAUGCUGGGCAAGAAGUUUCAUUCUGCUAUUUGGUACUGGAAAGUUUAAAUAAAUAUAUAUAAAAUAAUGCCAAGUCAUACUCUCAUAUCACACCUCUAUUAUACCCCUAUCUCUGAUGUAUACAUACACGAACAGUGAGUUGUUGUACACUGUACGCUGUCCUGCUCUGUUGGUCUUCUUUCAAUUCAUUUUUAAAUAAAACCUCUGUACACUA